AACGAACGCUGACGGCGUGGCUAAGACAUGCAAGUCGUACGGACCAUCUGAUUGAGUAAUCGAGAGGAUGGUUAGUGGCGAAAGGGUGAGUAAUUCAUAGGUAACGUACCCCUAGCUCUGGGAUAGCUGCGUCCCGCAAGGGACUUUAGCGAAAGUGCAGAUAAUACCGGAUGAAAUCUUCGAGUCGCAUGGCUUGAAGAUCAAAGGGCUUUUGUACCGGCAAGGGAGCGGCCUGUGUCGUAUCAGCUAGUUGGUGAGGUAACGGCCCACCAAGGCGACGACGCGUAGCGGGACUGAGAGGUUGACCCGCCACAUCGGGACUGAGACACUGCCCGGACCUCCACGGAGGGCUGCAGUAACGAAUAUUGCGCAAUGGACGAAAGUCUGACGCAGCGACGCCGUGUGUAGGAUGAAAGUCCCUUGGGAUGUAACUAACUGUCGGGUGAAGAAAGGUGAGGGCGUGUAAUGCCUGAACUUGAUCGAUCCCAGAGG
rnacentral:rRNA from 1 species